rnacentral:rRNA from 1 species
UGAGGGGGGCUGCUCCUAGUACGAGAGGACCGGAGUGGACGCAUCACUGGUGUUCGGGUUGUCAUGCCAAUGGCACUGCCCGGUAGCUAAAUGCGGAAAAGAUAAGUGCUGAAAGCAUCUAAGCACGAAACUUGCCCCGAGAUGAGUCUUCCCUGAGACCUUGAGUCUCCUGAAGGAACGUUAAAGACGAUGACGUUGAUAGGCCGGGUGUGUAAGCGCAGCGAUGCGUUGAGCUAACCGGUACUAAUGAACCGUGAGGCUUAACCUUACAACGCCGAAGCUGUU